rnacentral:lncRNA from 1 species
CGACGGACUGCAGGCAGGAGAACCAAGGGAAGGAAGAGAAGCGGUAAGGAGAGUGUCCUCAGGAAGGCGGAGAGGAGAACCCGAAACACCGGUGCGGCGGCUGGUUGGUAUCGCCUCCCUACCCACCCCCGCUCCCGUUUCUGUGUCUCUUCGUGUCUCUCUUUCUCCCCUUUCUCUGAAUAUUUGUCCCCUUGUCUCUGCCCUCACCCCUUUGAGACUCCGGCCCCUUCUAAGUCUCUGCGCUCCUUUUGGGUCUCUGUCCCAUUGUUCUAUGAAUCUGUCCCCCCCCUCCUUCAGAGGCUUCCCCCUCUUCUCUCUAAGCCUAAGUCUCCUCCCCCACGACCGCGUCUCGGUCUCCGCAUCCACCCCGUCUCUUUCUCUUGGCUUCUGUACCUUUUGCUAGGACUUGGGUCUCUGUUCCCUGCAACCUCUGCCCCUCUUUGUGACUCUGUCCUCCACUCCCCCCACUCCACUCCCCCCACCCCCACCCCAGAGUGUGUUCCCUCCUCACUCUGGGUCUCUGCCCUUCUUCCAUCUGGGUCUCUGUCCUCGCCCUUGUUCUUUGACUACCUCCCGCUCUGUGUCUUUCUCCCGUCCUCCGUCUUCCCCCCCUCCGCCUUCCCCCCUCCUCCGUCUCCCCCUCCCCGUGCCUGCCUUUUCUUUUUACGUCCUUUGUCCCUUUCCCUUCCCUGGGUCUCCACACACCCCCAUCCCGUGCCUCUUUCAUCCUUUUCUGAAUCUCUGCCCCCUUGUUCUGGGUCUCUUUUCCCACUUUCAUUGGGACUCUGUCCUGCCGUCCUUCAGUCUCUGUCCCUCUCUCUCUGGAUCUCUGUCCCGUUCUCUCAGGCUCCCACCCCAUCACCCCCCUUAACCCUCAUCCUGGCCCGGACUCGAGGCUGCGUCACUGCAGAGAGUGGCAGAAGUGCGACCUGUCCUGCGGACCAGGGAGGUAGUUUUCCCUCAACUCUCCCACCCCCGAUCCAGUAUCUUCGGGCAGCCUUCAAGCCCCCAUGA